rnacentral:tRNA from 3 species
AAAGCCGGAAUAGCUCAGUCGGUAGAGCAGAG